CGGCGUGCCUAACACAUGCAAGUCGAACGGAGAUAAAGAUUUCGGUUUUUAUCUUAGUGGCGCACGGGUGAGUAACACGUGAAUAACCUGACCCAAAGAGGGGGAUAACACCUGGAAACAGGUGCUAAUACCGCAUAAGACCACAAUGUCGCAUGACGAAGGGGUCAAAGAAAAUCGCUUUGGGAGGGGUUCGCGUCCCAUUAGGUAGUAGGCGGGGUAACAGCCCACCUAGCCGACGAUGGAUAGGGGUUCUGAGAGGAAGGUCCCCCACAUUGGAACUGAGACACGGUCCAAACUCC
rnacentral:rRNA from 1 species